CUGCUGCCUCCCGUAGGAGUCUGGUCCGUGUCUCAGUACCAGUGUGGGGGACCUUCCUCUCAGAACCCCUACGCAUCGUCGCCACGGUGGGCCGUUACCCCGCCGUCUAGCUAAUGCGCCGCAUGCCCAUCCUCUUCCGAUGAAUCUUUCCUCGAUCUCGGAUGCCCGAAACCGAUAUACGCGGGAUUAGCCUCCCUUUCGGAAGGUUGUCCCCCUGAAGAGGGGCAGGUUGCAUACGUGUUACUCACCCGUGCGCCGGUCGCCGG
rnacentral:rRNA from 1 species